UAUAUCUUAUGAUGCAGGGUGGACAAGUGUCGUGUGAAUCUGCAACAUCUUCAUGUCCGUCUGCGAGUUGCACGCACCCAACAAAACCACACGACCAGUGCUGUCCAACUUGUAACACUUGUGAAUAUGAAGGAAGGGUUUAUGAAAAUGGACAAGAUUUCAGGCCUCCCGGUGGAGGUCCAUGCAUCCAGUGUUUAUGCAAGAAUGGUAACGUGAGAUGUCAUCAGGAAAGAUGCCCACUUUUGAGCUGUGCAGUUCCCACUCCAGCCCCUCUUAACACCUGCUGUCCAGUGUGCAGCGGAUGUACAUGGAAUGGUGUUCAAUAUGAAGAAGGAGCCACAUGGACUGACGCUGGCCAAACAUGUUCUUGUGUGGGUGGACAGGUGACGUGUAGUAGGCCUAAAAGGGGCUCGGACUGUCCCAAACCGACCCCCGCACCCUUCCCAAAUCCCCCAGGUAAGAGAAAGAAA
rnacentral:lncRNA from 1 species